rnacentral:rRNA from 1 species
ACGAACGCUGGCGGCGUGCUUAACACAUGCAAGUCGAACGAGAAGAGAUGAGAAGCUUGCUUCUUAUCAAUUCGAGUGGCAAACGGGUGAGUAACGCGUAAGCAACCUGCCCUUCAGAUGGGGACAACAGCUGGAAACGGCUGCUAAUACCGAAUACGUUCUCUUUGUCGCAUGGCAGAGGGAAGAAAGGGAGGCUCUUCGGAGCUUUCGCUGAAGGAGGGGCUUGCGUCUGAUUAGCUAGUUGGAGGGGUAACGGCCCACCAAGGCGACGAUCAGUAGCCGGUCUGAGAGGAUGAACGGCCACAUUGGGACUGAGACACGGCCCAGACUCCUACGGGAGGCAGCAGUGGGGAAUCUUCCGCAAUGGACGAAAGUCUGACGGAGCAACGCCGCGUGAACGAUGACGGCCUUCGGGUUGUAAAGUUCUGUUAUACGGGACGAAUGGCGUAGCGGUCAAUACCCGUUACGAGUGACGGUACCGUAAGAGAAAGCCACGGCUAACUACGUG